UCCGAGUUGACCCCGGCAGUCUCCUACGAGUCCCCGGCAUAACCCGCUGGCAACAUAGGACAAGGGUUGCGCUCGUUGCGGGACUUAACCCAACAUCUCACGACACGAGCUGACGACAGCCAUGCAGCACCUGUGCACGGACUCCGAAGAGGGCCCGGUGUUUCCACCAGGUUUCCCGUGCAUGUCAAGCCCAGGUAAGGUUAUUCGCGUUGCAUCGAAUUAAUCCACAUCAUCCACCGCUUGUGCGGGUCCCCGUCAAUUCCUUUGAGUUUUAGCCUUGCGGCCGUACUCCCCAGGCGGGGCACUUAAUGCGUUAGCUACGGCACGGAACCCGUCGAUAGAGUCCCACACCUAGUGCCCAACGUUUACGGCGUGGACUAC
rnacentral:misc_RNA from 1 species